CUUCUACUCCCUCCGUUCUGAAUUACUUGUCUUAGAUUUGUCUAGAUACGGAUGUAUCUAGCACUAAAAUGAGUCUAGAUACAUCCGUAUCUAGACAAAUCUAAGACAAGUAAUUCAGAACGGAGGGAGUACGUU
rnacentral:pre_miRNA from 1 species